rnacentral:rRNA from 1 species
AUUGAACGCUGGCGGCGUGCCUAACACAUGCAAGUCGAGCGGAUGGAGGUGGCUUGCUCCUGGAUUCAGCGGCGGACGGGUGAGUAAUGCCUAGGAAUCUCCCUGGUAGUGUGCGAUAACGUCCGGAAACGGGCGCUGAUACCGCAUCCGUCCUGAGGGAGAAAGGGGGGGAGCUUCGGACCUCACGCUAUCAGAUGAUCCUAGUUCGGAUUAGCUAGUCGGUGUGGUAAAGGCCUACCAAGGCGACGAUCCGUAACUGGUCUGAGAGGAUGAUCAGUCACACUGGAACUGAGACAGGGUCAAGACUCCUACGGGAGGCAGCAGUGGGGAAUAUUGGACAAUGGGCGAAAGCCUGAUCCAGCCACGCCGCGUGUGUGAAGAAGGUCUCCGGAUUGUAAAGCUCUUUAAGUUGGGAGGAAGGGCAGUAAGUUAAUAUCUUGCUGUUUUGACGUUAGCAAUAGAAUAAGCACCGGCUAACUUCGUG